rnacentral:rRNA from 1 species
GAAUUUUCCGCAAUGGGCGAAAGCCUGACAGAGCAAUACCGCGUGAGGGAUGAGGACUUACUGAGUUGUAAACCUCGGUGCCUUGAGGAAGAAGAUCUGAAGGUACGUAAGGUGGAGAGCAUAGGCUAACUCAGUGCCAGCAGCCGCGGUAAGACGGGGGAUGCAAGUGUUAUCCGGAAUCACUGGGCGUAAAGCGUCUGCAGGUGGUUUCCUAAGUCCACUGUUAAACCUUGAGGCUCAACCUCAAAUCUGCAUUGGAAACUAGGAGACUUGAGUAUAGUAGGGGUAGAGGGAAUUUCCAGUGGAGCGGUGAAAUGCGUAGAUAUUGGAAAGAACACCGAUGGCGAAGGCACUCUACUGGGCUAUUACUGACACUCAGAGACGAAAGCUAGGGGAGCAAAUGGG